UGUGCUUCAUGGGCUUCCCUCACCCCCCAACAGAUCAAGACUGCAACAGACAUCUACAUUGCAACAAUCAACUCUCAUCGCUGGAUACACAGAAGUUCUUGCCAGCUUCAACUCCAAAUGAGCUUUGGCCACAUGAAUUUUCUUCCUACAGUGAUUUGAAGUCAAUGGGAUGACCAUGACUUACUGAAAACAGCAUUUUGCCAAUGCUGAUGCUUUUGAAAAUUUCAUCUUUAAAGCUCUGUGGAAGUAAUUGGGCAGUAAAGCUGUUAUGAUCAGAAACUGCAACACCAGAAUGACUGGAAAUAUGGUCAGGAUGCAUACUUCUGCUUUGCAGUUGGAAUUGUAGCAUUCUUGAAAGAUUUCAUGAAGUCUUAAUAUUCAUUUCUUUUGGGAGAAGCUAAGGAUCUUCUGGUAGAGCAAAAUUUUCUGUUGUUUCGACCAAAGCAAAAUAGGACCUGGAAAAUCACAGAAUUAUAGCUUUUUUUUUUUAAUUGGUUUCUUCAUUUGUUUGGAUGGUUUUGUACAAUGACUAGAGACUAAAUGUUUUAUUUAAGCUGCUUUGAUUUCCUCUAAAAUCAUUGCCAACUUGAGCACAAGAUGAUACAGGAAAUCAAAAAUUUCUUUCUGAAAAUGUUAUAUUACGCCAUUUACCAAAUCAAGCACUUCAGUUCUCAUUAGCUCUAGAAUAAAAUAUUCUGGGGUUUAGGCAAAAAGCAUCUAUCCUAUUAUGGAUAUGCCAUUUUCUGUAAAAUUGUAUUUCGACUAGUACCUGGAAUAUGGCUAACCUACCUGCCUUUGGUUUGAAAAUAAAAAACCAAUCUUCAUUGUACCAUUUUAUCUUCCCUAAUUUGUACCAUAUAAAUAUGGUUUGUCUUGCACUAUUUAACUAAAUUAGCAAAUAACCAGACCAACAAGAAAGAAAUAACUGUUUUCCCACUGGAUUUCUCACUGCCCUUCCAGCCACUGAGCCUUACUUGUUCUUGGCAAUUCUGCAAUUAUGCAGCUUUAAGUGAAAGAUACACAACAUGCACCCCCUUCCAUCUUAUGUCUUGCUCCAGUAUGUCCCCAAUUUAUAUUUUUUCUUUCUAUUUACUGAGAAUAUUACACAUUUCCCAUUGUAAGUAAAUGCCCAACUGACUGAAAAAAAACGUUAAAAUAGCAGUGGGGCAAGAGAGAGGCCAAAGAAAACGGCGUCAAUCCUACCGGAAUAGGAUAUGUAAUCUCUCACUUUUUAUACUUUGUGAGGUUAGAAGGUGUCCCAUUGUAAUACAGUAACACACAAUAUCUUUGAUAUUUUUGUACCUUCAGCAUGGCCAUUUACAAUAGAAUAAUUUUUGACUGGGAUCUACAAAAUCUGACUGUCACAGGCUACCUGCGCAAUCCUGACACAGUCCAUUACUGUGCAUGUCUUUGUCACUUAUUCCAGCAGGGACAUGGAUGAAUUAUCAUGGAAUCAUAGAAUGAUUUGAGUUGGAAGGGACAUUAAAGAUCCUCUAGUUCCAAUGCCCUGCCACAGGCAGGAACAUAUUCCACUAGACCAGGUUGCUCAGUGCACCAUCCAACCUGAACUUGGACACUGACAGAGAUGGGGCAUCCACAACUUGUCUGGACAACCUGUUCCGGUGCCUCGCCACCCUCACAAUAAAUAAUGAUUAUAUUAAUAAAAAGAAUAAUCAUU